rnacentral:rRNA from 1 species
CAGUAGCCGCGGGAAUACGUAGGGUGCGAGCGUUGUCCGGAAUUAUUGGGCGUAAAGAGCUUGUAGGCGGUCUGUCGCGUCUGCUGUGAAAACCCGAGGCUCAACCUCGGGCCUGCAGUGGGUACGGGCAGACUAGAGUGCGGUAGGGGAGAACGGAACUCCUGGUGUAGCGGUGGAAUGCGCAGAUAUCAGGAAGAACACCGAUGGCGAAGGCAGUUCUCUGGGCCGUAACUGACGCUGAGAAGCGAAAGCGUGGGGAGCAAACAGGAUUAGAGACCCCAGUAGUCCCUGUCUCUUAUAC